rnacentral:lncRNA from 1 species
CUUCAACUCACAGGACUGCGAUGUUGAAACGGACACCCAAGAGCAUCACAGAUGGGCCAGGCCUGGACCUCUCGGGACAACAUUCCUCACGACUUUUAGAUAGAAGAGAUUAGAGAUUUGGGACUGGUGGCAACUGGUAACGUUUUCAGUGUUUGGUAAACAGCCAGGGUCCGGAGCUCUGGGAACAGCCUGAUUUAGCUCUUUGUUUAAGUUUUGUGUUAGAGGCUCCCAAGAAGCUGAUGCAGGGGAAAGAAAUUAACAACCAUGGCUCAUUCACAGCCAGGCAGCCAAAUGGACAGCUCUAUAAGACUCAAGCCGACAGCGGAGAGAGUGCAACCAAACAGCCUUGGCCCAGCUUUCAGAGGAGAACGUUAUUCACCCCAACUGCUCUGCAUCUGCCUGGAUGUCUGCCAAGAUCUUCUUCUUUCCACCAAUGACCCCUCGCGCUGCUUCCAGAAGCCAAGAAAGUGGGCUUUGUCCUUGGGGAUUUAGGAGGCGGAGCGGCGCCCCCUUGAGGCCACAUGGUGGAGGCAGCGAUGAGACCUGGAGUCUAAAAUUCAGACUGAAUCACAGGAAGAAGCUAUUUACACAAGUCAAACAUGGUCCAAUCUUGGCAAUUUCAUAAGGUUCCAAUCCUUAAGGGAUCAAAACCUGGCCAACUGCUUCCACCGAGAGGUGUGCCUUUCAAUGCCAGGCUUGGAGUGUCCCUCUUUAUUUAAAAAGGAGAGGAUUCCACAGCAGAGCUUCUCAAACUCUUCCACCCAAAUCCCCUCACCACAGAGGGACAGGAGUCCUGGGCAUGUAGCCUAAAGCAGCCAGGAGAAAAAAACCUUGACCUUAAUUUUUUUAAUGAUUUCACAUGAAUCAGUGGAAUGUGUUUAUGAUAAAAUCAUCUCCUCCUGAAAUACAUGUGUAAAACUGCUGCCCCAGUUAAACGCACUUAGUCUAACCAAGCCCUAGGAUUGGCCUCUCCAGCAUGAGAAGCAUUUCCAGCACUCCAGCUCCCCAGCUCCCACUCUGGGAUCCCACCUCAGACCCUCCCACUUCCUUGCACUCUGGCCUCUCGCUCUUGACCCUGCUCCCGCCACGCUCUUUCCUCAGAGUCCAUCAGUCCUGUCUUGUCUUCACCUUGGUCUCUGCCAAGUGUGGGUCCAAGUCAUAUAUUUGGGCUGUGAUCACAGGAACCCCAAGCCCCAGACCUCCCAAAGCACCCUAUGGAGAGACCUUACCCUCCUGGACAGACCCUCUCCCCCCAGCUAGACCUCAUCCUCUGGGUAGACCCAUCUCCCCAACCAGAACUCACCCUCCUGAGUAAACCCCAUCCCCCUAGCUAGACUUCAUCCUCCUGGACAGAUCCCAUCCCCCCAGCUAGACCUCACCCUCUUGGGUAGAUGCAUCUCCCCAACCAGAACUCUCCUGGGUAGACCCCUUCUACCCAGCUAGACCUGAUCCUCUGGACAGACCCCAUCAUCCCAGCUAGACUUCUCCCUCCUGGACUGUCCCCAUCCCCCCUCCAGCCAGACCUCACCCCUCUGGGUAGACCCCAUCCCCCCAACUAGACCUCACCCUCCUGGAUGGACUCUACCCUCCUGGAGAUACCUUCCCCUCCUGGGUACAUCCCACGUGGCUACACACUCCUUCCCCUGUCAGCUUUCUCCCCCAGGGUUCUGGGCAGCAGAGUCUGUGAUAAAGGAUACUAAGUGAUUCCCCAAUACUUCCCGUUUCCAGCCUCCAGUGGGCUCUCCCUGGGGCUAACGGUUCUUUUUGCUAUUUCUCCAGGCUUUGCCUGAUGACAAGUAUACUCUGAGAGUGUCCUAAUGAUACAGAUUUUGGACCCUAUCCCAGUUCUACUGAAUCCAAGUCUCUGGGGGAGGAGUUGGGGCUCUGCAUCUGGACACCUUCCUGCAGGGUCCCUCCUGGGAGGCAAGCCCGGGGAGCACCGCUGAGGCUCGCCUCAGUGCCCAUCCUAGACCUUCAGCAGCUAGCAGAGGAUGUCCCCACCAUCCCUCAGCCCACACUCCCACUGUCGCCCCAGCCAGGCUUGGCACUGCCUCCUUUCUCAGAAGAUUAAGACCAUCUGCUGUUUCCCAAGUUUCCCACCCUCCACCCUAAAAAUUUCUCCGUUUCCCAGUCUUUCCUCGUCUCUCAGAAAAUAAACAUCUUCCCAGGCUGCCUCCCCAGUGGGUCUGCACUCCUUGCUGUCUUCCCAGCACCUGCCCUUCCAGCCCGCCCUCUGUGUGUCCAGUGUUUCCCUCACCAAAGGACUCGCUUUGUUUUUCAAAUUGGAGGUUUUGUCUUCUCCCUAAAAACCAAAACAUCUCCCUGAGAAGUAACUCCCUCAAGCUACUGAUACGGAAGGGGGGCGGGGAAGUGCUGGGAAGGGAAGGGUGUGGUCCCUGGCUAGGGCUCCACCCCCGGGCCUGUGCCCACAGACCUAGGUGAGGACAGGCAUUUCUGUUUUCGUGCUUAAAUGUUGGAUUUCCCAAGACUACCCUGGCCUACCACACCCUCAUUCUGUGCCUGUAAAAAAACCUGAGAGCUUAGCAGGCACGCACACAAGCCUCUGGACGUCAAGAGGAACACACCGGUGUAAGAGCAGACUGAUAGUGGCCCACGGCAGGCUGGCAGGCCAUCGACAGGCAGAACCACUCAGUGCAGCUGGAGGACAGCCUGGCCACGGAGCGGUCCGACUUCAGAGGGGAAAACCACCUCCCCACUCCGUCUCCCUUCUGGCUCCCCCAUCUGAGAGCUACUUCCACUCAAUAAAACCUUGCACUCAUUCUCCAAGCCCAUGUGUGAUCUGAUUCUUUUGGUGCACGGAGGCAAGAAACCUCAGGAUACAGAAAGCCUCUGUCCUUGGAAUAAGGCAGGAGGUCUAACAGCUGACUAGGGAUGGCUCAACUGAAACAGCA